ACUGCUCAGUAACACGUGGACAACCUGCCCUUAGGUUGGGUAUAAACCCGGGAAACUGGGUAUAAUACCCGAUAGGUCUCGAUUGCUGGAAUGCAUCGAGAUUUAAAGCUCCGGCGCCUAAGGAUGGGUCUGCGGCCUAUCAGGUAGUAGUGGGUGUAGCGUACCUACUAGCCUACGACGGGUACGGGUUGUGAGAGCAAGAGCCCGGAGAUGGAUUCUGAGACACGAAUCCAGGCCCUACGGGGUGCAGCAGGCGCGAAAACUUUACAAUGCUGGCAACAGCGAUAAGGGAACCUCGAGUGCCAGGUUACAAAUCUGGCUGUCGAGAUGCCUAAAAAGCAUUUCAUAGCAAGGGCCGGGCAAGACCGGUGCCAGCCGCCGCGGUAACACCGGCGGCUCGAGUGGUAACCGUUAUUAUUGGGUCUAAAGGGUCUGUAGCCGGCCGGAUAAGUCUCUUGAGAAAUCUGGCAGCUUAACUGUCAGGCUUUCAGGAGAUACUGUCUGGCUCGAGGCCGGGAGAGGUGAGAGGUACUUCAGGGGUAGGGGUGAAAUCUUGUAAUCCUUGAAGGACCACCAGUGGCGAAGGCGUCUCACCAGAACGGACCUGACGGCAAGGGACGAAAGCUAGGGGCACGAACCGGAUUAGAUACCCGGGUAGUCCUAGCCGUAAACGAUACUCGCUAGGUGUCGGCCACGGUGCGACCGUUGUCGGUGCCGUAGGGAAGCCGUGAAGCGAGCCACCUGGGAAGUACGGCCGCAAGGCUGAAACUUAAAGGAAUUGGCGGGGGAGCACCACAACGGGUGGAGCUUGCGGUUUAAUUGGAUUCAACGCCGGAAAUCUUACCGGGACCGACAGCAAUAUGAAGGCCAGGCUGAAGACUUUGCCGGAUUAGCUGAGAGGUGGUGCAUGGCCGUCGUCAGUUCGUACUGUGAAGCAUCCUGUUAAGUCAGGCAACGAGCGAGACCCCCGCC
rnacentral:rRNA from 1 species